ACCCAGCCACCUGAAAACUAAGAACUAUUUGACAAUGCAGUAUCUACACAGUGCUUGUUUAAACUCUGCUCUCCUUAUUAACUACAGACUAAAAACGCCUGACCAUCUAAGAGGACUCUGAUAGAAGAUGAAAAUAAAUAUAAAUGUGUAUGUUGAAGAUCGCAGGUUAUUGGCGGGCAAGCUGUUUUUCUGCUCUCAAAUGACGUCCGUCGUGGACUUCCCUGUAGCAGGUGUUUCCAAAGCAGGAACUCCGCAGGCUGCAAAUUACCAGGGCAAUGUCACUGUCAAUUAGGUGAACCUCAGCACUUGUCAGGCAAACUGCAGCCACUGAACUAUUUCAUCAAAUGCCGUGCCUUCCACGGUGGCACCAACUAUUGCUAUACCUGAAGGCAGGCAGAGCAGAGACUGCAUUUGAUGAAGCAGUCGAGUGGUUGCUGUUUGCAGGAAAGGGUGAAGCGCUCCCACUCAAGUGAAGGAGGUCCCCAGCAGGUGGUUCGCAUUCCCACACACACCACUCUGUGGGGAAGAGCCUGGUUCCUUGGACCUGCCAACGACUGGCACAAACAGCUUGAGAAGCAUCCCAAGGAUCUGGUCCUGCUGGAAAAACAGUAAUAAUUCCCCUCAUGUGUAAAUCUUACUGUGUUAAUAACAGCUUACUGCUGAAAAAAGACAACUGUAUCAAGAGAGAAAGCAAAGAAGGGCCAAAAAGGGACCUUAGCAGCACAGGACGGAACUCUCCCACUGUCACAGAUGGGCAAUGACCAACAUAAAACAACAGUUUCUUGGUUAAAUGAUCAUGAAUGCAAGACUGAAGGCUGGUCAACAAGACUGCUGAAAAAAAGUUUACAUUCCACUAUCGACCUGAAUACUUGAAAAACACUUUAAUCAGCUGCUUUUCAAGAUGACUGUGAGAACAGCAAACCUUCACUUUCUUUAAAAUAAGAUACAACAGAAUGACAGCCAGGAAACCUGGAGCGAAGCAAGAAAGAUAACAGAUUUCUUCAGCACAAUGCAAACUGUAACACGUUAAAUGAUGAAGCCAAGCCUGCAUCAGAGCAAGAACAUUCUGAAACUUAGCAAAAUUCAAGAAAGAUGAUCACAAUCUUGAAAGAUUCUCAGUUUUUCUGCAAACUUUUUUGCUCUUCUCUCACAUUAGAAUGGAAUGUAAUUGCAUGCCACGUACAAUACAUGGCAUACAUUGCACCACUAUUAAUAAAGAAAGCAUUUGAGUUGUAAGAGGGAAAAAAAAUAUCAAGCUUCUGAGAUCAUGAUUUAACCAACUUAUGUUAAUUUCAAAAAUAAAAGCUUACUUCCUGCC